AGCAGCCGCGGUAAUUCCAGCUCCAAUAGCGUAUAUUAAAGUUGUUGCAGUUAAAAAGCUCGUAGUUGAAUUUCGGGGUUAGUAGAUUGGUCAUGCCUCUGGUAUGUACUGGUCUCACUGAUUCCUCCUUCCUGAUGAUCCGUAAUGCCAUUAAUUUGGUGUUGCGGGGAAUUUGGACUGUUACUUUGAAAAAAUUAGAGUGUUUAAAGCAAGCUAACGCUUGAAUACAUUAGCAUGGAAUAAUGAAAUAGGACGUUCGAUCCUAUUUUGUUGGUUUCUAGGAUUGACGUAAUGAUUAAUAGGGAUAGUUGGGGGCAUUAGUAUUCAAUUGUCAGAGGUGAAAUUCUUGGAUUUAUUGAAGACUAACUACUGCGAAAGCAUUUGCCAAGGAUGUUUUCAUUAAUCAAGAACGAAAGUUAGGGGAUCGAAGACGAUCAGAUACCGUCGUAGUCUUAACCAUAAACUAUGCCGACUAGGGAUCGGAUGAUGUUAAUUUUUUAAUGACUCA
rnacentral:rRNA from 1 species